rnacentral:lncRNA from 1 species
UGGGAAAUUUUGAUAGUAAAAACGAAAGGGCUUUUCUCUCCAAUCAACAUAAACGUACCUUUACAAAAGGAACUUUCUCGCUAUCAAGCAAACCACCACUCCAACAAAUACGUUGACAAGUGGACAUGAAAGCAGAGCCGUAUCAAGAGCGGGCUAGACGUUCAAAUCAAGAGAAACAACGCAGAAAACCAUUCUUGAUGCAACAUAACCAGGUAAAGAAAAAAAUAAAUUUGCUUGAAUCAAAAGAAAUAUACUAACACUACCAAGCAUGCGACAGCUCCAACAAAUGCAAUCUUAAAUGGAUGAAAUUUUCAGUCAUUUUGAACAAGCAAAAGAACAGUGUAACAUCAAAGGAUGAAAAAUAUCACCUCGACUGCCGAAUAUUUGGAAGCAGAGCCGUGAAACGAGCCGGGGAACGAACCCCAUUCUCCGUCUUCUCGAGGGGUCCGGACCGAGACACCCUACUCUCGAUUCCCCAUUCGCUCUCACCUCGGACCACCCCAUUCAAUCGAUUCUCUCACCCUCUCCGCCACUUUCUCGUUCUCGCACGCUCGCUUCGGCCCUAAAAGC